rnacentral:tRNA from 1 species
GGCUCGUUAGCUCAGCGGAUUAGAGCAUGGCGUUUCUACCGCCAGUGUCGGGAGUUCGAAUCUCUCACGAGUCA